UAGGGANUCUUCGGCAAUGGACGGAAGUCUGACCGAGCAACGCCGCGUGAGUGAAGAAGGUUUUCGGAUCGUAAAGCUCUGUUGUAAGAGAAGAACGAGUGUGAGAGUGGAAAGUUCACACUGUGACGGUAUCUUACCAGAAAGGGACGGCUAACUACGUGCCAGCAGCCGCGGUAAUACGUAGGUCCCGAGCGUUGUCCGGAUUUAUUGGGCGUAAAGCGAGCGCAGGCGGUUAGAUAAGUCUGAAGUUAAAGGCUGUGGCUUAACCAUAGUACGCUUUGGAAACUGUUUAACUUGAGUGCAAGAGGGGAGAGUGGAAUUCCAUGUGUAGCGGUGAAAUGCGUAGAUAUAUGGAGGAACACCGGUGGCGAAAGCGGCUCUCUGGCUUGUAACUGACGCUGAGGCUCGAAAGCGUGGGGAGCAAACAGGAUUAGAUACCCUGGUAGUCCACGCCGUAAACGAUGAGUGCUAGGUGUUAGACCCUUUCCGGGGUUUAGUGCCGCAGCUAACGCAUUAAGCACUCCGCCUGGGGAGUACGACCGCAAGGUUG
rnacentral:rRNA from 1 species